CACGUAGGGGGCGAGCGUUGUCCGGAUUUAUUGGGCGUAAAGAGCUCGUAGGCGGUUCAGUAAGUCGGGUGUGAAAACUUUGGGCUUAACCCAAAGCGUGCAUCUGAUACUGCUGUGACUUGAGUUCGGUAGGGGAGUGGGGAAUUCCUAGUGUAGCGGUGAAAUGCGCAGAUAUUAGGAGGAACACCGGUGGCGAAGGCGCCACUCUGGGCCGAAACUGACGCUGAGGAGCGAAAGCAUGGGUAGCAAACAGG
rnacentral:rRNA from 1 species